GACGGAGGAUGCAAGUGUUAUCCGGAAUCACUGGGCGUAAAGCGUCUGUAGGUGGUUCGAAAAGUCCACUGUUAAAAAUUGAGGCUUAACUUCAAAGAUGCCGUGGAAACUUUCAAACUAGAGUAUGGUAGGGGUAGAGGGAAUUUCCAGUGGAGCGGUGAAAUGCGUAGAUAUCUGGAGGAACACCGGUGGCGAAGGCGGCAUCCUGGACCGGUAUUGGACGCUGAGGCGCGAAGGCUAGGGGAGCGA
rnacentral:rRNA from 1 species